rnacentral:lncRNA from 1 species
GGUGAGCCAGAGGGAGAUGGGACAUGCAUACACAGAGGAGAAAGCGACGUGAAGACAGAGGCAGAGAAUGGAGGGAUGUGACCACAAGCCGAGGAGGCCAGAGAUUACCAGCUGCCGUAGAUUACCAGCUUCCGGAAACAGGAAGAGGUGAAGAUGGCUUCUCCCCCCGAGACUUCGGCAGGAGUGUGGCCCUGCUGACAUCUUCCCCACUAGGUCGUGUGGGGGUGGGGUGGAAAAUCCAAAUCUGUAGCACAAGCUACAAAUUCAGGUGUCUCUCAAAUGAACAAUUUUGUGCAAGUCAAGCAUUCCCUGGAGUGGCCACUGAAAGUCCAAAUGAUCCUUGGCAAAGUUAGGCCGUUUGGAAAACAGGCACAAGGAUUUGGAUUCUAAAGAGAAUAAUCGGUCAGAGACAGGAGUUUUUCCUGGAGAAGGAGAGGACUUGGAGACCCCAUGGGAGCUGGCCGUGGUCUGUAGAAAGGUGAUGCUUUGACACCUUGUGUCUGUAGGACCUCAGCCUGAGAGUUGGCUGUCUCCAAAUGCAGACCUGACAAUUUGCACUCCCUGUGGAAAACCAGAGAGCAGACUCUCUCUGGACAAGGUAUUGAGAUGGAAGGAGACCCUCAUUCAGCUUUACUGGUCACCCACAGCAGUUUGUCUGAAUGGAUUCUGGUGCAGUGAGAACCACAAACUCACCAGUCUAUGAGGCUGGCUUGACCUACAACCUACAGGGGGCCUCUGUCUGUGUUCUGCCCUGUGAUUCUCCAUCUGGUGACCAAGAGUUUUGACAGAACAGCACCAAAUGGAAGCACAAAAGAGAGGAAAGGCUCAAUUCCACCAAGAAUGCAAACAAAGGAGACCCAGUCAAAAAACCUGGGCACUAAACUGGUAAGACGUAGCUAAGGACUCAAUACCAAGGGGGGUGUAACUCAGACUAAGUGUUGACUCACCACCCUGGGGUGGAUUUGACAAGUCAUGAGUGGCAAGGCACAGAGGGCUCAUAUGUUGUCUGCAAAUAAUGCCCCUGGCCAAAGGCUGGGGUCAGCAAGAUGUGCAGUGCAGACUGUGUCUUGUUGGGCCUGCCAGGAGAACUGUGGACAGAAGCGAAGACCUCCUAGAUGAGAACAAACAGAGGCUGUUUAUUCAAAGCCCUGUUACAGCAAGGGAGUCAGCCACCAUUACUUUGUCAGGGACUUAAAGGCAGGCAGGGAGUGGAAGAUGUUCUAGCACAGAGAGGAAGGAAGGCUUCAGGUGUGCCAUGAUUGGAGGCUGUUGGCAUGGGGACCUGGAGGGAGCCCGACUAGAAGCCAGGCAUCUUGUGUGAUUGCUGGGGGAGCCCAUUUGCCUUUAUUUGGUGGGCUCUGGGUGGGAAACAGGAAGCUGGACAUCAUGGGAAC